GAAAAUAUUUUACAUAUAUUAAUGAAUUAUCCCAUUCUAUUAUUCAAUUAAGAGCAUCUAUAAGAUACAGAUGAACGAAUCAAAAGGGUUAUUUUUUAACACCAAUUGGUCUUUUAAGCAGUUGUAUAAAUGUUACAUAGUACUGUUUUAAAAUAUGGUACUUACAUAUUAAUUGUGAUCUUUUGAUCUCCAAAUGCUUAAAUUUAGAUUACACUUCAAUUGCACUGCAUAUUUUAUAUCUUCAUUCAGUCUCAUAAUGCUUGUAACUUUCCAGUUGUCAAAGAAGUUGAAACCAAAUUCCAUAAUACAAUGGCAAGAAUCUCUAUUCUUUCUGAAGUCAUUCUUCUUUUAUUUAUUACUGCUCAGAUAUUUCAUAGAACAUUUGCUUUCUCAUGAAUAAAUGUAUGCAUGGAAAUAUAAAAACACAAUCUUGAUAACCCUACAUUAAAUGCAAUCACUAAAUAUCUGUAAUUUAAUAUAAACAACAGAAAAUCAUGAUUUGUCCAAAUCUCAGUGUUAAUUUCUUUAUACUCUGAAAUGAAUAUAACAACAACAACAAAAAUAUAGGAAGUCAUGUCUACUGCUGUUCCAAAAUUAUAAUUACUAAAUUUUAAAAUAUAACACUGAUAAAUUUUAAAAAUAUAUGUAUCUGUAAAUUCAUUCACUCAUCCAACUAAUGUUUAUUGAAUAUUACCUCAUACUAGUGUCCUUUUCAAAACUCUGAGGAUAAAUAGUGACCAAGACAAGCAAAGUCCUUGUCUCAUGAAAUUGACUUUCUAACAGUAAAAACACACAACAAAGAUAUAAUGAUGUGUUGUACUGGUAAUUAUAUUAAUCAUGUUACAUAGUAUGACAUUGACUCCUUCACAUUAAUUAGUAACUGAAAUCUCUAGACAUGACAUUUAUAUUGAUACCAGAAUAACAUGAAGAAAAUAGCCAUGAGAAAAUCCAGGGUAAGAGCAUUCCAGGCAGAAGAAAUAUUAACUAUGUAUGGGAAUUUGGAGUAUUUGAGAACAGUAUAUAAAGAGAACAGUGGUACACAGUAAUGAGGCAAAGAAGGAGGCAAAAAGGAGAUAAGGUACAAGGACAUGAAUAAGGCCACUGGAAUAAUUUAAAAAAGAAAACACUGACUUUUGUUAGGAUGGAAGUAGUGGAGAUGAAGACAAGUCAUGGACUUUGGAUAUGUUUGGAGACAAGGUUUGCUAAUGGACUGGGAAUGAGGGAUGAAGAAGAGAGAAAAAAUCAAAGCUAAAUUCCAUAUUUAGGGAAUAGACAAUUGAUUCAAUGGUGGUAGAGAAGAAGCGGAUUUGGAAGAAAAAUCAAGUCUGAGAUGACUAAUGCCUGAGAUGACUGUUAGAUAUCCAAAUUCAGCUACUAAGUAGACAGCUGCAUCUGAGAGUUCCAAGGAACAUUUAGGAGCAGAGAUUAGGAUUUGUAAAUCAUCCAUAUAUACAUGGUAUUUAAAGUACAGAACCUAGGAAAAUCCUAUAGAUAGAGAAGUGUGCCAAGGAUUGAGCUCCAGGGCACUGCAAUGUUUAGAAGGUGGGCAGAGAAUUAGAAACCAACAAAGGAAACUAAGGAAUGUUAAGAAAGAAAGAAAUGCAGUUAGUCGUUUGGAUUAAAGGUUUUUAAUCCAAAUGAAUGUAAUUCAAUGUAUUGGAAUUUAACAAUAUUUAUUCUUUGGAUUUGAA
rnacentral:lncRNA from 1 species